UGGGGAAUAUUGCACAAUGGGCGCAAGCCUGAUGCAGCCAUGCCGCGUGUGUGAAGAAGGCCUUCGGUUGUAAAGCACUUUCAGCGAGGAGGAAGGUGGUGAGCUUAAUACGCUCAUCAAUUGACGUUACUCGCAGAAGAAGCACCGGCUAACUCCGUGCCAGCAGCCGCGGUAAUACGGAGGGUGCAAGCGUUAAUCGGAAUUACUGGGCGUAAAAGCGCACGCAGGCGGUUUGUUAAGUCAGAUGUGAAAAUCCCCGGGCUCAACCUGGGAACUGCAUUUGAAACUGGCAAGCUAGAAGUCUCGUAGAGGGGGUAGAAUUCCAGGUGGUAGCGGUGAAAUGCGUAGAGAUCUGGAAGGAAUACCGGUGGCGAAGGCGGCCCCCUGACGAAGACUGACCGCUCAGGUGCGAAAGCGUGGGGAGCAAAAACAGGAUUAGGAUAACCCUGGUAGUCCACGCUGUAAAACGAUGUCGAUUUUGGAGGUUGUGCCCUUGAGGCGUGGCUUCCGGAGCUAACGCGUUAAAUCGACCGCCUGGGGAGUACGGCCGCAAGGUUAAAAACGU
rnacentral:rRNA from 1 species